rnacentral:rRNA from 1 species
GCAACGCGAAGAACCUUACCAGGUCUUGACAUCCUCUGACAACUCUAGAGAUAGAGCUUUCCCUUCGGGGACAGAGUGACAGGUGGUGCAUGGUUGUCGUCAGCUCGUGUCGUGAGAUGUUGGGUUAAGUCCCGCAACGAGCGCAACCCUUGAUCUUAGUUGCCAGCAUUCAGUUGGGCACUCUAAGGUGACUGCCGGUGACAAACCGGAGGAAGGUGGGGAUGACGUCAAAUCAUCAUGCCCCUUAUGACCUGGGCUACACACGUGCUACAAUGGAUGGUACAAAGGGCAGCGAAACCGCGAGGUUUAGCCAAUCCCAUAAAACCAUUCUCAGUUCGGAUUGUAGGCUGCAACUCGCCUACAUGAAGCCGGAAUCGCUAGUAAUCGCGGAUCAGCAUGCCGCGGUGAAUACGUUCCCGGGCCUUGUACACACCGCCCGUCACACCACGAGAGUUUGCAACACCCGAAGUCGGUGGGGUAACCGUAAGGAGCCAGUCGCCUAAGGUGG